rnacentral:rRNA from 1 species
UACAGAGGUGGCAAGCGUUGUUCGGAAUUACUGGGCGUAAAGGGCGCGUAGGCGGUCUUGUAAGUCUUGUGUGAAAUCCCUCGGCUUAACUGAGGAACUGCACGGGAUACUGCGAGACUUGAGAUCGGGAGAGGGAAGCGGAAUUCCGGGUGUAGCGAUGAAAUGCGUAGAUAUCCGGAGGAACACCGGUGGCGAAGGCGGCUUCCUGGACCGACACUGACGCUGAGGCGCGAAAGCUAGGGGAGCAAACGGG